UACGUAGGGGGCAAGCGUUGUCCGGAUUUAUUGGGCGUAAAGAGCGUGUAGGCGCCAGACAGGUCCGUUGUGAAAACUCGAGGCUCAACCUCGAGACGCCGAUGGAAACCGUCUGGCUAGAGUCCGGAAGAGGAGAGUGGAAUUCCUAGUGUAGAGGUGAAAUUCGUAGAUAUUCGCAAGAACACCAGUGGCGAAGGCGGCUCACUGGACCGGUAUUGACGCUGAUGUGCGAAAGCGUGGGGAGCAAACAGG
rnacentral:rRNA from 1 species